GCUACUCUACAUUAUCAAGUGGUACGGUUGUUUUUUCAGUGGAGUAGUCACCUCCCCAAUAAGCUUUCAACCGUUGUCCAUUUACUUUGAACCUCCUUUGUUGAUCUUGAGACACCACUUCCACAGCACCAUAUGGAAACACAGCUACUACUGUGAAUGGACCCGACCACCUGGACUUUAGCUUUCCCGAAAAAAGCUUGAGGCGUGAAUUGAACAUCAAUACUUGUUGACCAACCUCAAACUCCUUCUCC
rnacentral:lncRNA from 1 species